AGGUAAAACAAGAUGGGAAGGAGUAGGUCAAAGGGUACAAAGUUCCAAUUACACAAGUUAAAGAAGUCCUACUUCUGACACAUUCUUCAUGGUGCAGUGAGGCUCUGGUGAGGUGUGUAACACCCUGGAAAGCCCUGAAGAAAGGACUGGAUUCAUACAGACGAGGCUAAAUGUCAUACAGAAGUUCCUCCUCCGAUGCACAGGGACACCUUCUCCUACAGAGCAGUUCCUGAACACUGAUGGGUCAUGUGCACUUCAGGGCCUUUCCUCAGGUCACCCACAAGGUCUGCAGUCUAGCCAACAGGAUGUAGACUAUAUAUGGAGAUGAGUCUACUGCCUCAUUAAGUCAGUGUAAUGGACAUAUCCAUGUCAAAACCAACACGGCUGGUCUGCCCUGGCGGAUGGAGUCGCCCCAGCAUGAUGGCUCCCCUGUUCUGGUCCAUUACCACUGGCUUUUGUGUAUAACAGCAGGAGGCUCUCUAUUUCCCUGAUCAUUCUGGAUGAAAAUGGCUGUGCUAUUCUCCAACUCGGCCACAUAAAGCACAAAUAAAGAAUCUUGUUUAAACUGUA